CGGGGAGUGGCGCAGCCUGGUAGCGCAUUCGACUGGGGGUCGAAAGGUCGCAGGUUCAAAUCCUGUCUCCCCGACCA
rnacentral:tRNA from 1 species